AGGAGCUAGAACUUCUGGCAUUUAACUCUGCGGCUCUGUAACAAUCAACAUAAGCCAUGGAUUUUCUUUAGGUCUAAAAUGUAUAUCCUGUCACCUUUGAAAGUGAUCUCCAGCUGUCUCAUUCCAAAGCUGCCUGCAGCCAGGUGCUCUCUUCUAUGUCAAUUAAAAGAUUAACUCUGGCAAAACUUUUUCUACUGACAAGUGAAAUGAUUCUAGUCCCUCUAAAACCAGGAGCUUUGGAUAGAUGGUAAUUCAUCUAGGAGUGAGGAAAAAUUAGGAAAGAGCCCUUUAGGCAUUGGUCGGAACUAUCAAUUAGGAUAUUCCAUCUGAGACUUCAUACAAAUGAAUUUGUGCUGCUGCAGAGUAGCUGGGUUCUUAUUCAAUUGAGUUAGAAGCCACAAAACAAUAAAGGUAUCUGAGUUAACAACCAAACUGUAAAGUAAUUCUUAAAAGUACAGUUCUAAUGACAUAUACAUUACCCCAUCU